GCGGCUGCUGGCUACACACAGUAGCCCAUGGCAACCCACUGCCACAGGGACUAAGGAGGGACCCUAGGGAAAAGCCACGGAAAGGUGUAAAAAUCAUCCUGUUCGGUUAAGGCCUCUGGGCAUUUGGGCUGUUCACAUGUUACCUGCGUGUGCAUUCUUAUAGAGAUCUACCUUCAAAAUAUAAUCACAACUGGAAAUGUGUAAAGUUGGAGUCGAUAAAGCAAGUGCUCUGCAGGUGGACAAAAGUAAGAAAGCGGGGGCACAAAGUUCCACCUCAGAAUGAUGAAGUCCACUUGUACUUACAACACGUUCACAUCUCGACUGGCUCCAGAAAGAGUUGUUUUGUGCCAUGUCUCUGUGUGUGACACGAUGUUGGGUAUGUUUUGUGGCCCUUCCCAUCAUUUGAGAUGUUUAUGUUGAUAAUGAACAUGUUUGUUGCUUUGCGGGGGAGGAGGAGGAGAGAAGUUCAGAGAGAUGCACUCCCCUACGUUUCAUUUCUACUAAUUUUUAAAUUGUCACGUUAGGCAGGCCUCUCUAGGUCGCGAGACACAGACCACACAGCUUAAUCUGGCUGUAAUAAAAGCAGUUUGCUCCCAUAACCACAAGGCUUGGUUGACUGUGGGCUCACGGACAGGACCAGGGUUCUCGCCACUUUUCAGCUGCCCCUCUUCAGCACUAACUCCUUUCCAGGCAGGUUCUUGUCUUGUGGUGAAGGAUGGCUGCAAGCAGCGCGCAGGGCUUCAUCCUGCCAUCCUUGUCCAGCUGAAAAGAGUCAUGUUAGGAAGCUCCGUGACAAGCAGCAGCCGUGUUUUGCCCCCCACAAGUCCUAACAGCCAUCUCUACCGGGUCCAUUCCUGAACCAAUCGUGAGCCCAGGUUAUUCUUAAGCCAGUCAGGGCCCGUUCCCAGAACUGCCUGUGCGAACCCAAGGCUGAGAACGGCUUGCGUUGAUGCUGGGGCCCAGUUAACAAGUGUCCAGUACAGUGUGACUUGCAAAGGCAAAAGAAAUUCCUCCUGCCCACCCAGUCCUUUCGGUCUUUAGAAUUGACUUGUUUUAUCAUUUAAAACGUUUUCCUUGUCCCCUUGGUUUCCCUCUAGAUGUCCUUCCUUUAAUCUCCCACAAUGAUUUGCUCCAUUUUAGCUUUUUAUAUACACGUAGGAAAUUUUUUGCAUUGUUUUCCCAAUAGAUCACAAGCCAGUAGGGAACAUGUCAUUUCGUCUUUGUAUCUCUACAGCCCACCUUGUACUUUUAUACACAGAAC